rnacentral:lncRNA from 10 species
GUCAUUUUCUUAUUUAGUAACAGACUGGGAAAUACUUUUCCAUGUCAAUACAUAGUAAUCCAUUCAUAGCUAUGUGUUUUAAUAUAGCUAUCAUCUCAUACAGGAGUGCCAUGAUUUGAUUCCUUACUGUUUGACAUUCAGAUGUCUAAUCUUCCCUUAGUGUCAAGAUGAUGAACAAGAGUAACAGACAUCCUUGGACACACAUGGAUCCAUGGACAAGGUAAUUUCCACAGCUUCAAGUAUCUCAAGGAUAUGGAUUAUCAAACCUUUGAUGCAUCCUUUUUAAUGUCACCAACUCCCUUAAACCAGCCUUUCUCAGCCAGGGUUCCACAAGAAAAUUAAGACCUACAGAAAAAUUAUUUGAGUGACAAUUUUCUCCAUUCUCUCAGAGAUGGUACAAAGCUAGUGCCAGAAUUAUAGAUGCACAGAGAAAAGUUAAUUUACUACAUACAAUGAAUGUCAGAGAGCUUAAUUUUCUCCCAGGUGACAGAAGCUGCUAAUUUAUAAUUUUGAAUAUUUCUCUUCCCUUUAGGUUUUGUGAGUAUCUGUAUGUUACGAUAAUGAUAAUUAAUUUCAUUCAACAUACAUUCGCCAGGUGCUCCCCUUGUGUGGUAAACGACAAAAAUGAUUCAAGCCACAAUUCAGUGUUCAACAAUUCAACCUUACAAUAACAUAUCUUUAUUUAAAUUAGUAAAAUAACUA